rnacentral:rRNA from 1 species
UACGAAGGGAGCUAGAGUUGUUCGGAAUCACUGGGCGUAAAGCGCACGUAGGCGGAUUUGCCAGUCAGGGGUGAAAUCCCGGGGCUCAACCUCGGAACUGCCUUUGAUACAGCAAGUCUUGAGUUCGAGAGAGGUGGGUGGAAUUCCUAGUGUAGAGGUGAAAUUCGUAGAUAUUAGGAAGAACACCGGUGGCGAAGGCGGCCCACUGGCUCGACACUGACGCUGAGGUGCGAAAGCGUGGGGAGCAAACAGG